CUUCAAUGUUGCCUUUGACUGAAAGUCAAACACAACCUGAUAUGGUGGGAGAAACAGAAGUUGUGAAAUAUAGAAACAUCCCUUACCUUACCUACAAAAUUAAGAAUUGUUUUAAAGAUUAUAAUAAAAAAGUGAAAAUAGUAGCACAGUGCAAAAAGAAAGUGGCAAAUUUAUAUUCAAAACUGAAGGACCCUAUACCAAAAGAAAUAAAAUCGAAUGUGGUGUACGAACUGGAAUGUACUGACUGUCAUGAAACCUACGUAGGUCAAACCUCUCAGUGGCUUAGAAAUCGCAUGAACUUACAUAAAAGUGAUAUUAGAACAAAUAACCUGAGAUGUGCAUUAUCUGUUCAUGCUAAUAAGUACUCACACAGUGUUGAUUUUAAUAACGUAAAAAUUUUAGAUGUAAAUGUAAAUUAUAAAAAAAGAUGUAUACUAGAAAUGAUCCACAUACAAACUCAAAAAAGUAAAAUUAACAAAAAAACGGACACGCAGAGAUUAAGUCCAAUAUAUGCAUAUCUCAUAGAAUUUUCUAACAGACCAUUUUUCGAUGGUCCAGUUGAUGAAUGACAUUUAACCUAACUUUGUUUAUUGCGUAUUAUGAUAUUGCGUUUCUUAAUUGAUAAUCAUUUGAUAUUACCCUGUUUGAUGCUUGUGUCUGAUUUUGUACAUUUCUUAGACUUAGAGAUUAACCUCGCAUUCAUUGCCCUGAGGAAGAAGCAAAAUAAGCUUCGAAAGCUAGGCUUUACAUGAAUAAAGAGUAAAUAUAUCUCGUUAAUUGCUGA